GGAUUGGUAGCUCAAGUGGAAGAGCGCUGCAACGGCAUUGCAAAGGUUGGGAGUUCAAGUCUCCCUCAGUCCC
rnacentral:tRNA from 2 species